UUUAAAUGAUGACCUAAUUCAGUUCUGCUUCUGAAUGUCGAUUGAAGAAGACUACCCACAUUUCUGAGUU